UACGAAGGGGGCUAGCGUUGUUCGGAAUUACUGGGCGUAAAGGGCGCGUAGGCGGUUCUUUAAGUCAGGAGUGAAAGCCCUGGGCUCAACCCAGGAAUUGCUCUUGAAACUAUUGAACUUGAGUAUAGGAGAGGUGAGUGGAAUUCUCAGUGUAGAGGUAAAAUUCGUAGAUAUUGAGAGGAACACCGGUGGCGAAGGCGGCUCACUGGCCUAUUACUGACGCUGAGGCGCGAAAGCGUGGGGAGCAAAC
rnacentral:rRNA from 1 species